AUUACGUGAAAUGGAUCUACGAGUGAUUAUGAUAUUUACCUACUUGAGAGCCUUGUAAGUUUUCAACGCAUACUCUUUUACAUGGUGGACAGUUGAGAUUUCUAUGCUGCUCCCUUAGUUUGAAUAAAAGCUUUCAGUGCUUAUUUGACGAACAUGAGAUGUUUUACGUGGCCGUAUACUUUGAUUUCUUUAUACGCCACAUAUUUUGGGAGCAUGGUUACUUUAUAUUGUUACUCACAUUUGUAUGGUAAUCAAUGUUUUUGAUUUCUCCAAUGUCGGCCAACAUCGUCGAGACUGCCAUGGCUAUGGGGAUUCGAUGGAGCAGAGCUCUUGGAUGUUAUUACGUGUAAUGGAUCCACAGCCAUGGCUGUGGGGAUCCGGUGGAGUAGAGCUCUCGGAUGUUAUUACGUGGAAUGGAUCCACAAGUGAUUACGAUAUUUAGCUACUCGAGAGCCUUUGAUCAGCCUAACACGUAUUCAUUGGCAUUUUCAACCCACCGCGGAUAGGUAAAGCCAUCUCAUAGCACUUUAUUCCUAAUCGCUCCACUGCUAGAGGUCAAGUCUUCAUAGAGUAAUUUGUUAUGAAAUUAGACAAUUGUGUCAAUAUAAAUGUACAUUUGGAGAUUAUAAGUCAUGAUGUAUUAUUUUACGAUUAUGUGGAAUAAAGGUUUAUUUAAUUUAUAAAGAUCAUUGUUCAA